AAUUUUCUGGAAGACUUGUUGGGGA
rnacentral:piRNA from 1 species